GUGCUCGCUUUAGCAGCAUGUGUCCCCCAAACUGGAACCAUGCAAAGAAGAUUGGCAUGGCCCCUGCAUAAGGGUGAUGUGCAGAUUUGUGAAGCGACCGUAUUUUAC
rfam:Otolemur garnettii contig139779, whole genome shotgun sequence.